CCAAUUCUUCCUCAGCCUCUGCUCCUCCACCCUAUAUCCUGAGUCGUCUCAAUUCUUAGACUUUUUAUACCUGUUUUUCUCCUUCUGUUAUUCCAUUUAGAUAUGGAGAUUGUAUUAAAUGAUUGUUUUUCUUUGAGAAGAUUUUUUGGGAUGAUUAUUUCCAACUUUUGCUGAAUAUUGAUGGAUAGCAGAACUCAUGGAAAAUAUGGAGAGGUUUUCCAUAGCUGGGUGAAAUUUUUUUCUGGUUUUCUUUAUCUUUCAGGUAUUUUCAGAAAAUGCAGCAACUCAGAUUAAUUUUCUCAUGUUUUUCAGUUAGUGCUGUUUGUGAGUGUGUGUGUAUGUAUGUGUGUGAGGGUGUAUGAGUCAUUUGAUAUUGGAUGCAAGAGUUACGGCAACCCAUUCAAGGAGGUCCAGAAGGGUAUACAAGGACAAUGAUUUAAAAAUUGAUUUUUUGUAUGUG
rnacentral:lncRNA from 1 species